AUACGAAGGGGGCUAGCGUUGUUCGGAAUUACUGGGCGUAAAGCGCGCGUAGGCGGAUUGGUCAGUUAGGGGUGAAAUCCCAGGGCUUAACCCUGGAACUGCCUCUAAUACUGCCAGUCUUGAGUUCGGGAGAGGUGAGUGGAAUUCCUAGUGUAGAGGUGAAAUUCGUAGAUAUUAGGAAGAACACCAGUGGCGAAGGCGGCUCACUGGCCCGAUACUGACGCUGAGGCGCGAAAGCGUGGGGAGCAAACAGGGUUAGAUACCCUAGUAGUCC
rnacentral:rRNA from 1 species